rnacentral:lncRNA from 1 species
AAGUUUGUGAGGUGAUAGUGAAAGGGAAGACUUGAACAAGUUCCAAACUAUAAAAAAAUAAAGACAAGACAGUUUUUUAUGUUUUAGAUUUAAUAAAUUAAUAUAUUUGUAAAUAUAUAUUCAUAAUUUACAACACAAUAUAAAUAUACAAAGCACCACAAUGAAAUCACAGAUCACAUACUAAAAAUUCGUUUCAAAUUGAAAAUCACAUUAUGGGAAGGAUCACAGAAUAUACAUUAAAUUUUUCUUAUCGUUUAUUUUUAGACACCACAAAAACAUUCAUCACAAAAUAUAUAUAAUAUUCUGUGAGAUCAAACAAUUUAUACAAAUGCCACAAAGAACAUUGAAAACAGAUUAUACAUCAAGUUGUACAUACUUUACACGAGUACAUUACAUAACAAUUAUAACUAUAAAGCACUUUAAAAACAAACAAAUAAAUAUUUACUUUAACUAUUCAUCUGCACUCUUGACAGGUUAAACAGAUCAAGAAUAUAUUUAUAUAAGUGACCAUUCACAGUAUAAAGUUAACAAUCUGACAUUAUGUGGUCAAAAAUAGUUGACCAGCAGAUUGAAGUCUUCCUCUCACAAUUGUUUAUUUUUCUUUUCUAUUAUCAAAUUAGAACACUACUUCCAAGUCAGGAGAAUAUACUUAUUGUAAUUAUUUUUAAAUGAGGUAGGUCUAAUUUCCUGGAGGUUUAACCUCAUGAUUGAAACAAUCACAGGAGAAAAUAGCCCUACCUCUGUGGGAAAUUAUAUGCAGUCUCCCAACAAUAUCUGGUAAGCUACAACAUAGGAGCUAAAUCCAUCAUCUAGAUAUCAUUCCAGUUGUGAAUCUGCGACUCUUUUCACAAAAACUCUUAUGAUUAAAACAUAUCAUAAGUUAUACUGAAAUGUGCAUGACUUACAAGUAAUUUUUCAAAGAUAUUAAGAAAAUAGAGCUACCAAACAUUUUACCAUAUGACAUAUCAAAAACAGUGUAGGUAAAAUUAUCAUUUUCUAUCUUAUAAAAACAAAAGUUUGUGUGUUCAGUGAAAGCGUAAAUAUGAUCAUCAUUUCAAUCACUUUCUUCAGCCUCUUGAUGAGAUCCUUAUUGUAUACAAACAUCAGCUUUCUAUACAAAUAUUCAUUUAGUAUAAUAACAGUAUCACAAUUAAUUGCACAAUAUGUUGUAGAAAUUUAAAUGCACCAAUUCAAAUACAAAACUUAGUAAAUGAGUGGAUGAAAAUCUAAAUAUAUAUAUAAAACAAAUUUCAGUGGUAGGAGGGUGUUCAAGGGGUUGUUACCUCCACUUUUUUGGAUGAUCAAUGCUUUUGAAUGG